rnacentral:rRNA from 1 species
ACACUCCUACGGGAGGCAGCAGUGGGGAAUUUUGGACAAUGGGCGAAAGCCUGAUCCAGCAAUGCCGCGUGAGUGAAGAAGGCCUUCGGGUUGUAAAGCUCUUUUGUCAGGGAAGAAACGGUGAAAGCUAAUAUCUUUUGCUAAUGACGGUACCUGAAGAAUAAGCACCGGCUAACUACGUGCCAGCAGCCGCGGUAAUACGUAGGGUGCAAGCGUUAAUCGGAAUUACUGGGCGUAAAGCGUGCGCAGGCGGUUUUGUAAGUCUGAUGUGAAAUCCCCGGGCUCAACCUGGGAAUUGCAUUGGGGACUGCAAGGCUAGAAUCUGGCAGAGGGGGGUAGAAUUCCACGUGUAGCAGUGAAAUGCGUAGAUAUGUGGAGGAACACCGAUGGCGAAGGCAGCCCCCUGGGUCAGGAUUGACGCUCAUGCACGAAAGCGUGGGGAGCAAACAGGAUGAGAUACCCCAGUAGUCCCAUG